AGCCUGCCCAGUGACUCAAUUCAACGGCCGCGGUAUCCUAACCGUGCGAAGGUAGCGUAAUCACUUGUUCUUUAAAUCAGGACUAGUAUGAACGGCAUCACGAAGGUUAUACUGUCUCCUUUUUCCAAUCAGUGAAACUAAUUUCCCCGUGAAGAAGCGGGGAUAGAACUAUAAGACGAGAAGACCCUAUGGAGCUUCAAACGACACAACAAAUGCUAAACUCCUUAAAAAUUUCAGAACCCCAACUCACUAUAGCACUAUGAUUGUCAGUUUUAGGUUGGGGUGACCGCGGAGCAAAACACAACCUCCACAUUGAAAGAAUUCCAUUCUAAGCCAAGAACCACAACUCAAAGCAUCAAUACACUGACAUAAUUGACCCAAUACACUUGAACAACGAACCAAGUUACCCUAGGGAUAACAGCGCAAUCUACUUCAAGAGCCCCUAUCGACAAGUAGGUUUACGACCUCGAUGUUGGAUCAGGGUCUCCCAGUGGUGCAGCCGCUACUAAAGGUUCGUUUGUUCAACGAUUAAUACCCUACGUGAUCUGAGU
rnacentral:rRNA from 1 species